rnacentral:misc_RNA from 1 species
AGCCGCCUCUCCUCUCUCUCUCCCUCUCCAUCAGCCGCCUCCCAUCUCCUGUAUCUCCAUUUUUUCCGACGAGGGAGAAAGCCGGACGAAACACCAACAGCCACCGGCAAGAGGCAGCUCUACCCCCUCGCUCUCCUCGUCUCCUUUUCUAGAGAAAGCAGCAAGAAACAACAGCCACCGCCUACCUCCUUGCCUCCCUCCUCCCGUCUCCCUCGUUAUUGUUUUUUCUCUUUUCUGGCAGGGACGCAGCCAGCAGCUCCGAAAACACCAGAAGCGAGAAGUAGCAGCGAUGGAGGCUGCUCCGACCAGCAGCAGCAGCUGCGAAGAGGGGGGGGGGACGACCAUCUCUCUCUCCCCUGUU